UACGUAGGUGGCAAGCGUUAUCCGGAUUUACUGGGUGUAAAGGGCGUGUAGGCGGGACUGCAAGUCAGAUGUGAAACCCAUGGGCUCAACCCAUGGCCUGCAUUUGAAACUGUAGUUCUUGAGUGAUGGAGAGGCAGGCGGAAUUCCGUGUGUAGCGGUGAAAUGCGUAGAUAUACGGAGGAACCCCAGUGGCGAAGGCGGCCUGCUGGACAUUAACUGACGCUGAGGCGCGAAAGCGUGGGGAGCAAACAGG
rnacentral:rRNA from 1 species